UACGAAGGGGGCUAGCGUUGCUCGGAAUCACUGGGCGUAAAGGGUACGUAGGCGGGUCUUUAAGUCAGGGGUGAAAUCCUGGAGCUCAACUCCAGAACUGCCUUUGAUACUGAGGAUCUUGAGUUCGGGAGAGGUGAGUGGAACUGCGAGUGUAGAGGUGAAAUUCGUAGAUAUCGGAAGGAACACCUGUGGCGAAAGCGGCUCACUGGACCAUUACUGACGCUGAUGCACGAAAGCUAGGGGAGCAAACAGG
rnacentral:rRNA from 1 species